rnacentral:rRNA from 1 species
UUUCCGCCAAAAGAUGAAAAGUAAUUCCUGCCCAGUGACUAAGUUCAACGGCCGCGGUACCCUAACCGUGCAAAGGUAGCAUAAUCACUUGCCCAUUAAUUGUGGGCUAGAAUGAAAGGACUAACGAAAUAAAAACUGUCUCUAUAAGCCACAUAAAAAUUAAUCUCUAACUGAAGAAUGCUAGAUAUCGUCGAAGGACAAGAAGACCCUAUAGAGCUUUAUUUUAACAAAAGCCAGAAAAUUUUUAAUAAAAUUCGGUUGGGGCGACCAGGGAAUAUAAAUCAUCCCAGAUAAGUAGAUAACUUAAUCUAAACUAUGACCCUUAAACAAGAUCAACAAAUCAAGCUACCUUAGGGAUAACAGGCUAAUCCCACUAAAGAGUCCUUAUUAAUAGUGGGGGUUGGCACCUCGAUGUUGGCUUAGGGAAUCUAUGUGGCG